AGCUGCUUAGCUCAAUUGGGAGAGCGGCUGCUCGACCAUUUGGUUGUUUCUACUAUCAAAUGGAAGAGUGGCCGAUACAGGUUCGAGUCCUGUAGCAGCA
rnacentral:tRNA from 1 species